rnacentral:rRNA from 1 species
GAACCUACCUACCUAGCUCGCUACACAUGCAGUCGAGGGGCAGCAUAUAGAUUGCUUGCAAUUUAUGAUGGCGACCGGCGCACGGGUGAGUAACGCGUAUCCAACCUACCCAUUACUAGGGAAUAACCCAGCGAAAGUUGGCCUAAUGCCCUAUGUAGUCGUUUGAUCGCCUGAGAUUUCGACGAAAGAUUUAUCGGUAUUGGAUGGGGAUGCGUCUGAUUAGCUUGUUGGCGGGGUAAAGGCCCACCAAGGCAACGAUCAGUAGGGGUUCUGAGAGGAAGGUCCCCCACAUUGGAACUGAGACACGGUCCAAACUCCUACGGGAGGCAGCAGUGAGGAAUAUUGGUCAAUGGGCGAGAGCCUGAACCAGCCAAGUAGCGUGCAGGAUGACGGCCCUAUGGGUUGUAAACUGCUUUUAUAUGGGAAUAAAGUGAGGGACGUGUCCCUUAUUGCAUGUACCAUAUGAAUAAGGACCGGCUAAUUCCGUGCCAGCAGCGCCGGUAAUAA